GGUUCAGGUAGCUCAGCUGGUUAGAGCAAAGGACUGAAAAUCCUUGUGUCAGUGGUUCGAAUCCACUUCUAAGCGGGCUUUGGGUCCAAAGGGGACGACAGGUAGUUUAAGAAGAGCGAGCCGG